GACGAACGCUGGCGGCGUGCUUAACACAUGCAAGUCGAACGGAAAGGCCCUGCUUUUGUGGGGUGCUCGAGUGGCGAACGGGUGAGUAACACGUGAGUAGCCUGCCCUUGACUUUGGGAUAACUUCGGGAAACUGGGGCUAAUACCGGAUAGGAGCUCCUGCUGCAUGGUGGGGGUUGGAAAGUUUCGGCGGUUGGGGAUGGACUCGCGGCUUAUCAGCUUGUUGGUGGGGUAGUGGCUUACCAAGGCUUUGACGGGUAGCCGGCCUGAGAGGGUGACCGGCCACAUUGGGACUGAGAUACGGCCCAGACUCCUACGGGAGGCAGCAGUGGGGAAUAUUGCACAAUGGGCGGAAGCCUGAUGCAGCAACGCCGCGUGCGGGAUGACGGCCUUCGGGUUGUAAACCGCUUUCGCCUGUGACGAAGCGUGAGUGACGGUAAUGGGUAAAGAAGCACCGGCUAACUACGUG
rnacentral:rRNA from 1 species